GAGAAGUGGGCCCUCCAUGAUAAGAACCACACGCUUGCCCAGUGGUAUGUAGAAGGAGAAACCCCACAGGGUGCCGCCAAACCCGACCUUCACCCCAAAAAAGUCAUGCUCUCAGUGUGGUGGGGAGUGUACGGCCCCAUCAACUGGGAA
ensembl:ncRNA M04D5.6 ncRNA